UACGUAGGGUGCGAGCGUUGUCCGGAAUUAUUGGGCGUAAAGAGCUCGUAGGCGGUCUGUCGCGUCGGCUGUGAAAACCCGGGGCUCAACCCCGGGCCUGCAGUCGAUACGGGCAGACUAGAGUGCGGUAGGGGAGACUGGAAUUCCUGGUGUAGCGGUGAAAUGCGCAGAUAUCAGGAGGAACACCGGUGGCGAAGGCGGGUCUCUGGGCCGUAACUGACGCUGAGGAGCGAAAGCGUGGGGAGCGAACGGG
rnacentral:rRNA from 1 species